rnacentral:pre_miRNA from 1 species
GUAGUACUCCCUCCGUCCCAAAAUUCUUGUCUUACAUUUGUCUAGAUACGGAUGCAUCUAAUAAUAAAACAUGACUUGAUACAUCCGUAUUUAGACAAAUUUAAGACGAGAAUUUUGGGACGGAGGGAGUAGUAC